rnacentral:rRNA from 1 species
GACGAACGCUGGCGGCGUGCCUAAUACAUGCAAGUUGAGCGCUGAAGGUUGGUACCUGUACCAACUGGAUGAGCAGCGAACGGGUGAGUAACGCGUGGGGAAUCUGCCUUUGAGCGGGGGACAACAUUUGGAAACGAAUGCUAAUACCGCAUAAAAACUUUAAACACAAGUUUUAAGUUUGAAAGAUGCAAUUGCAUCACUCAAAGAUGAUCCCGCGUUGUAUUAGCUAGUUGGUGAGGUAAAGGCUCACCAAGGCGAUGAUACAUAGCCGACCUGAGAGGGUGAUCGGCCACAUUGGGACUGAGACACGCCCCAAACUCCUACGGGAGGCAGCAGUAGGGAAUCUUCGGCAAUGGACGAAAGUCUGACCGAGCAACGCCGCGUGAGUGAAGAAGGUUUUCGGAUCGUAAAACUCUGUUGGUAGAGAAGAACGUUGGUGAGAGUGGAAAGCUCAUCAAGUGACGGUAACUACCCAGAAAGGGACGGCUAACUACGUG